GAUGAACGCUAGCGGCAGGCUUAACACAUGCAAGUCGAGGGGUAGAGUUCUUCGGAACUUGAGACCGGCGCACGGGUGCGUAACGCGUAUGCAAUCUACCUUUACAGAGGGAUAGCCCAGAGAAAUUUGGAUUAAUACCUCAUAGUAUUAUGACUCGGCAUCGAGCUAUAAUUAAAGUCACAACGGUAAAGAUGAGCAUGCGUCCCAUUAGCUAGUUGGUAAGUAACGGCUUACCAAGGCUACGAUGGGUAGGGUCCUGAGAGGGAGAUCCCCCACACUGGUACUGAGACACGGACCAGACUCCUACGGGAGGCAGCAGUGAGGAAUAUUGGACAAUGGGCGCAAGCCUGAUCCAGCCAUGCCGCGUGCAGGAUGACGGUCCUAU
rnacentral:rRNA from 1 species